rnacentral:lncRNA from 10 species
CGAGGAUUGAGUUUAAUUAACUGAUAUCCCCAAGACCUAGCUCAGAGCCCAGGAAAGCUGUGGCACAGUGGGAAGGGAGGUAGGGGUGAGUAAAGUGGGAGACAGAGAGAUGGGGUAUAUGUUUCCAGAGCUGAUCUUGAACUCCUAGAAUCAAAUGACUCCCUCACCUUGGCCUCCCAAAGUGCUGAGAUUACAGGUGCGAGCCCCCAUGCCUGGCCCAAAAUGCUGUUUCUGAAUGGUGAGUUGAGAAUGAUUUCUUUUUCCUUCCUUGUUUUUUCCUAGAUUUUUCUAUAAUGAUAAAGUCAACCUAAAUUUUUAAAAAUUUACUUUAUAUUGCAUAAUCUUUUAUAUUUUGAAUUGUAUUAGGUACAUGUAUUAACUAUUAAAAUAAUAGAAAAAAUGUUAAGGGUAAAAUUAAAAGUUAGGCAAUAUAUUUACAACAUAUUUGAUAAGCAAUGGUAAAAAUUCCUCACUAUAUAAGGAUCUUUCAGGAAUAUGCACCAAAUUUGUAACAGUGGUUAAAGUGGGAUUAUAGGAGAGUUAUUUUGUGUCACAGAUUUCUAUAUCAUUAAUUCUU